CUCGAAUUGAACAACCCAUUAGUGUCCCUGCCCACUUAGUACAACGAGACCACCAGUUAUGAACGUCUGCUGCUUUCUCUGUUCCCCUAUUUUACUGCUAGAGAAACUGUCUCUCUUUCUUCGAUCCAAAGGCUCCAACUUGAAGUGCAACGCCGUUCUGGGAUUCUCUCUGAGAUCCAAAACCACUCCUCUGUACCAAUCUGAAAUCUUUGCCUCUUCAAAACCCAAUUUCAGCUGCAAACAAAACCACUUCAACUCCACUCACAAACCCAUUACUUUCUUCCUUCAAAGAUUCUAUCUUUUCCCCAUUUUUUAUGUCUAUAUAUAUUUCCUAGGAAAACGUUAGUGAUUACCGCCUUCGUAGAUCCCCCAAAGUUAGUUUUUCCGCUCAACAGUUAUGGACAUCUAAUUUGCUUCACUUUUUUGUACAAGGUAAUAGAGAAUUGGUUUUGCCUGAACUGAGAUACUCAGACGGACAUUUGCUUCAGAAUCUGGGUUUAAUUCAAACUUUGAUCCUACAACCAAUUGCCGUACAAGUGAGGAGAAAACCAGAUCUGUUACCAUCUAUCGCUCGACAAUUCGAUCCAAAACUUUGAUUCAAUUAGCCGGCAUUCCAACGUAUACUUUUAAAUCAACCACGAUAUAUCUGGGUUUUCGAUGGUCGAUCUUCAUUACAAGAAUCAACUACGAGAGCUGUGGCUUCUAGUCCUCCAAAUCAAUUAAAGGUGGACCAAACCUUUUUCAUAGCUUAAAUCUCUUCUUCAGACUACUACUUCCUAUGAUAUGCGCUCCCUUUCUACCAUACAACAAGAACAGAACACCCGGUUGAUUCUUCGGGUCGUUCACUCAGGAUCGCGUCACUUUUCUCUUCGGCAACUUCCAUUGGAAACAGAGAAUAAUCGGAGAUUUGGUAUUAGAAUUCCUCGAGGACACAACUCCGAUUUUCUACAUUCACCCACUUUGGAUAAAUCUCGAUUCACCCAAGUAUUCCUAAAACGGAUUCGGCUUCUCUGCUAGAAUUUAUUUUGCUAGGAUCUGCUUAGAUAACACUCUCAGCUCGCCACGUGUUACUGGUUCAAUCUAAGGGCUAUAAUGCUUACAACACAGAAAGCCUGGACUCCUCGCAUCUCCCUCUCUGUCUUCGCCCAAUUUCCUCAUCAUCUAGUCGUGAACUGAAGCCGAGUCCGAUCUCUCGACUCCUCACUUAACUCUCAAGAUUUUCCAGAUGAUGGGGACGACUCACACCGUGGCUUAGAGAAGAGAAAUGGGUUUAGCUUCACAUGGGAGAAACCUUGCAUUUCAGAUUGGUAAUCCAAAAUCAAGGCUUUUGAUUCGGGUCCACUACUACUGCAGUUAUAAAUCAGAGAGUAAAAAGCUUCAAGAUCUUGAUGAAACAGUGAGGGAAAUCUGUACCAUUCUGAAGCGAAGCAGAGAGUGGGAGUCCGUGUUGAGCUCAUCAGGGUUUCCCAAGAAGCUAAACCCUUGUGUGGUUCGAUCCGUUCUUCAACAACACCACCAGGUUGGUGACCCAGAAAGACUUUUAAGUUUCUUUGAUUGGUCUGGUGCCCAAUUGGGUGUGCUCCCAAAUUUGCAUUCUUUUUCGAUUAUGGCUGUUGUUUUGUGUAAUUCCAAGCUUUUUGGGCAUGCCCAUGGUGUGUUGGAGAGAAUGGUUAGGACCCGGAAGCCGGCUUUAGAAGUUUUGGAUUGUGUUGUUAGGUGUUUUAGAGAGUUUGAGGGGUCUGAUAUGGUGGUUUUUGAGAUUUUGAUUAAUGUGUUUACGAUGGGGGGGUUGGUUUUAUGAGGCUGCUGAUGUGUUUUUGGGUGUUAGGAGUGUUGGGAUUUCGCCGACAUUGGAAUGCUGUAAUUCUCUGUUGAAUGAGUUGUUGAAGGGUAAUAGGAUGAGGCUGUUCUGGAAAGUGUAUGAUGGGAUGUUAGAGGCUAAGAUUUACACUUAUAGCAAUGUGAUCAAUGCACAUUGUAAGUUUGGGGAUGUUAGGCAGGGUAAGAGGCUACUGUUUGAGAUGGUAGAGAAGGGCUGUAAUCCGAAUUUGAGUACCUUCAAUGUGGUGAUUGAUGGAUUGUGUAGAAGUAGGGCUGUUGAUGAAGCCAUUGAGUUGAAAAAAUCGAUGGUUGAGAAGGGAUUGACACCUGAUAGGUAUACAUAGGGAGAUAUUGGUCCACGUAUCUCUCACCAUCUACUGGUUGCAACAGUAGCGGUGUUUGCGACUACAGGGGAGCCUAUGAUGCAAAUAAAUGUCUAAAGAACUGUGGUUAACCAGCUCAAACUCUGUACCAUAUUCCUCGUACUUGGGUACAAGAUGGAGAGAACCUUUUAGUUCUCCAUGAAGAGCUUGGGGGUGACCCUUCAAAAAUUUCUGUGAGGACACGAACUGGCCAAGAGAUAUGUGCGUAUGUAUCAGACACUGAUCCUCCGCCUGCCAGUUCUUGGAAACCAAACUCUGAAUUCAUGUCCCAAAAUCCUGAAGUUCAACUGACUUGUGAACAUGGAUGGCACAUUACUUCAAUUAACUUUGCUAGCUAUGGAACUCCUAUCAGAAGCUGUGGCGCCACUUUCACUCUGGGAACUUGCAAUGCUGAUGUCUUAACAAUCGUUGAGCAGGCUUGCCUUGGCAAAGAAGGAUGUUCGAUUACCAUCUCCACAGAAACCUUAGGUGAUCCUUGUCCAGGUGUAUUAAAGAGUUUAGCUGUUCAAGCUCUUUGCAGCAAUUGAGUGCCCGUCGCCUUACACCAAAGUCAGUUGAAAGGAUCCUUCCUAGUUGCAAUGGGAUUUUGGUGUUUCAAAUUUGGGAUCUGAUACCGAUGCCCCAUAUGAUUUGUUUUUGUGAUCUGAUACUGAUAAGUCCCUCACGAUUUUCGUUUGGCACCUUACUCGUGACAAUGUAAUUGACAUUGUUCUUAUACUAGGCAAGUGAGUGCAUCAUGACUGAUUUCAAUCAAAACUCCAUAUUAUCAGUGCAUCA